CUUGGAGGUUGUGCCCUUGAGGCGUGGCUUCCGGAGCUAACGCGUUAAGUCGACCGCCUGGGGAGUACGGCCGCAAGGUUAAAACUCAAAUGAAUUGACGGGGGCCCGCACAAGCGGUGGAGCAUGUGGUUUAAUUCGAUGCAACGCGAAGAACCUUACCUACUCUUGACAUCCAGAGAACUUUGCAGAGAUGCAUUGGUGCCUUCGGGAACUCUGAGACAGGUGCUGCAUGGCUGUCGUCAGCUCGUGUUGUGAAAUGUUGGGUUAAGUCCCGCAACGAGCGCAACCCUUAUCCUUUGUUGCCAGCGGUUCGGCCGGGAACUCAAAGGAGACUGCCAGUGAUAAACUGGAGGAAGGUGGGGAUGACGUCAAGUCAUCAUGGCCCUUACGAGUAGGGCUACACACGUGCUACAAUGGCAUAUACAAAGAGAAGCGACCUCGCGAGAGCAAGCGGACCUCAUAAAGUAUGUCGUAGUCCGGAUCGGAGUCUGCAACUCGACUCCGUGAAGUCGGAAUCGCUAGUAAUCGUGGAUCAGAAUGCCACGGUGAAUACGUUCCCGGGCCUUGUACUCCCCGCCCCGUCA
rnacentral:rRNA from 1 species